rnacentral:sRNA from 2 species
AUAAGCCGCAUCGGGGAGUAGCCACCACCGAAGCGCGGCCCAUUAUGGCGGCGCUGAGAUCAAGUGGGAUCACGUCAACACAAUCGCUGAAAAGCGUGGCGUGAUCAGCCGUUCAACGGCC